UACGGAAGGUGCGAGCGUUAAUCGGAAUUACUGGGCGUAAAGCGCACGUAGGUGGCUUGGUAAGUCGGAUGUGAAAGCCCCGGGCUCAACUUGGGAACUGCAUUCGAUACUGCCUCGCUAGAGUAUGGUAGAGGGUAGUGGAAUUCCGGGUGUAGCGGUGAAAUGCGUAGAUAUCCGGAGGAACAUCAGUGGCGAAGGCGACUGCCUGGAUCAAUACUGACACUGAGGUGCGAAAGCGUGGGGAGCAAACAGG
rnacentral:rRNA from 1 species